rnacentral:rRNA from 1 species
AUUGAACGCUGGCGGCAUGCCUAACACAUGCAAGUCGAACGGCAGCAUGACCUAGCUUGCUAGGUUGAUGGCGAGUGGCGCACGGGUGAGUAAUGCGUAGGAAUAUGCCUUGAAGUGGGGGAUAACCUGGGGAAACUCAGGCUAAUACCGCAUGAGCUCUAAGGAGGAAAGCUGGGGACCGAAAGGCCUGGCGCUUCAAGAUUAGCCUACGUCCAAUUAGCUAGUUGGUAGGGUAAAGGCCUACCAAGGCGACGAUCGGUAGCUGGUCUGAGAGGAUGAUCAGCCACACUGGGACUGAGACACGGCCCAGACUCCUACGGGAGGCAGCAGUGGGGAAUAUUGGACAAUGGGGGCAACCCUGAUCCAGCGAUGCCGCGUGUAUGAAGAAGGCCUGCGGGUUGUAAAGCACUUUCAGUGGGGAGGAGGACUUGGAGGUUAAGAGCUACUAAGUUGGACGUUACCCACAGAAGAAGCUCCGGCUAACUCCGUGCCAGCAGCCGCCGCCG